GAUGAACGCUGGCGGCGUGCCUAAUACAUGCAAGUCGAGCGAACUGAUUAGAAGCUUGCUUCUAUGACGUUAGCGGCGGACGGGUGAGUAACACGUGGGCAACCUGCCUGUAAGACUGGGAUAACUUCGGGAAACCGAAGCUAAUACCGGAUAGGAUCCUCUCCUUCAUGGGAGAUGAUUGAAAGAUGGUUUCGGCUAUCACUUACAGAUGGGCCCGCGGUGCAUUAGCUAGUUGGUGAGGUAACGGCUCACCAAGGCAACGAUGCAUAGCCGACCUGAGAGGGUGAUCGGCCACACUGGGACUGAGACACGGCCCAGACUCCUACGGGAGGCAGCAGUAGGGAAUCUUCCGCAAUGGACGAAAGUCUGACGGAGCAACGCCGCGUGAGUGAUGAAGGCUUUCGGGUCGUAAAACUCUGUUGUUAGGGAAGAACAAGUACAAGAGUAACUGCUUGUACCUUGACGGUACCUAACCAGAAAGCCACGGCUAACUACGUGCCAGCAGCCGCAGUAACAC
rnacentral:rRNA from 1 species